rnacentral:rRNA from 1 species
UACGUAGGGGGCAAGCGUUGUCCGGAAUCAUUGGGCGUAAAGCGCGUGUAGGCGGCUCGGUAAGUCUGCUGUGAAAGUCCAGGGCUCAACCCUGGGAUGCCGGUGGAUACUGUCGAGCUCGAGUCCGGAAGAGGCGAGUGGAAUUCCUGGUGUAGCGGUGAAAUGCGCAGAUAUCAGGAGGAGCACCAAUGGCGAAGGCAGCUCGCUGGGACGUGACUGACGCUGAGACGCGAAAGCGUGGGGAGCAAACAGG